UACGAAGGGGGCGAGCGUUGUUCGGAUUUACUGGGCGUAAAGGGCGCGUAGGCGGCGGGUCAAGUCGAGUGUGAAAGCCCCGGGCUCAACCUGGGAAUUGCGCGCGAGACGGGGGGGCUUGAGUUCGGGAGAGGAGCGUGGAAUUCCCAGUGUAGAGGUGAAAUUCGUAGAUAUUCGCAAGAACACCAGUGGCGAAGGCGGCUCACUGGCCCGGAACUGACGCUGAGACGCGAAAGCGUGGGGAGCAAACAGG
rnacentral:rRNA from 1 species